UGUUGUUUUGCAUCAUUAAGAUUAAGAACGACUCCAACCCUUCAGAGUUCUUAUGGGCCAGCAGCAAAUAAAAAUUUAGCGAUGGGUUUUUGGAUUUCUUAGUAUAAAAGAUGCUUUCUUUAAGGAAUUUUUGGAGAAGGCAUAGAAGGAAGCUUUUUGUUACGGUUGGAGUUUUAGGAAGUGGGUAUGCUAUGUAUAAGCUUUAUCAUGCUCACAAGCAGAGGCUCUUUGAUUUGGAGAGAGAAUUUGAAGGCGGGCGGGCAACCGAUGAACUCAUUAAGGCCCAACUGCAAGCCCAUUUUGGGAACAUUCAAAGAGUAGCUGAUUCAAUAACAUUGCCUUCAUCAAUGCACUAUUUGCGUAGCCGGAUAUCAGAGGAGUUGGACCAUUCACCCUUGAUUGCGAAGCUUGAGCAGGGGAAGGGUCAGCCCAGCACCCUUACGUCUUUGGAGAAGCAACAACUAUGGGAAAGACUCAAAAUUCUAAGUUUCACAAGCAUGGUGUUAUCAUUGUGGGCGAUGACACUGCUUAGCCUAUAUAUAAGAAUACAAGUCAACAUUUUAGGCAGACAUCUAUACAUUGAUACAGCCCGGGAUCUGGAAAGCUCUCAUCUACUGGAAGAAACAGACCCAUUUGAAAGACACAGUCAGCAAGAAUUUUUAGCAACUGCUGAUUACCUUUCUGGUGAUGGCAUGAACACAUUGAUCUCAGACAUGCAGACAGCUGCAGCCGAAGUUCUCAAGGGAAAACAGCUGAGGGAUCUGUUAAAUACUUCCCAACUUCAUGAAACCAUUGUGCAAAUACUGGACAUUUUCAUGAGUGUUGGGGCCCCUAAUCACUGGGUGACCUAUUUAAUGCCGGAAAAUGCUAUAUCAUACAAACAUCAAAUGGCAACAUCGUCUAGUGUGCUGCUUCCUGAUGUUACCAAGCUCGAUCAACUCUUGGUGGAGACACGUGCUGUCCUUCUGAGUGAUGAUUUUAGUAAUGUUGUCACUAUAUCAUUGAGAACAGUGGUGGAUGCCUUGAUGGAUGAUUUUGGGUUACAACUAGGAGGCAAUUCUUCAAGAGGAAUUCCCCUGGCCAAGCUGUUGCCUAGAGUUGCACAGAUGGGUCCUUUACUGCUUGAGGAACCUGGCAGUAACAGGUUUAUCCAGAUCAUCAGAAGGUUGCCAGAAGUUGAAGUCUUUUACACUCUUCUUUAUGCAAAUAUGCCACCCUCAUAGAUGAGCCAAGAAGCCAAUAGCAAUUGAAAUUCAACUUCCAACUUUUUUAGGGGAAUGUACAAUUUGGAAAGAAAAAUAAAGAGAAAGAUGAAUGUUUCUUUGUGCAAAUGUAGCUUCCUUUAAUUUUGUUGGUUAAUCAGCUG